GCGCCAGUAGUUGAAUGGUUACAAUAUUUGCCUUCCACUUCCGAGUGAUCAGCAAAGGGUCCGUGUUCGAUUCACGGCUGGCGCA